rnacentral:misc_RNA from 1 species
GCGCCGCCACAGCCGAGGAAUCAGCACUGUUGGGCACGAUGCCUUCAGAUAGUAUGGAUGACAUCGAACUGAAAAAUAUUCAGCUCCAAUUCCCCGCGCUGCGAUACCUGUCGAGGGAUGACAGUUCUGUACGGGAGGAGAGGGUGGAGACCGACAAGGGAAGUCUCAUGGUCGCUGUCCAAGGGAACCGGGCGAAACCUGCCAUUCUCACUUAUCACGACUUAGGCCUUAAUUAUAUAUCGAGCUUCCAGGCAUUCUUCAAUUACAUCGACAUGCGUGUUUUACUCGAGAACUUUUGCGUCUAUCAUGUGAACGCGCCAGGUCAAGAGGAGGGUGCAUCGACUCUUCCAGAGGACUACAUUUAUCCGUCCAUGGACGAAUUGGCAGAGCAGCUGCUCUUCGUCUUGGGUCAUUUUGGCCUGAAGUCCGUAAUCGGUUUCGGAGUCGGCGCCGGAGCUAACAUACUAGCCAGAUUCGCACUUACCCACCCGGAAAAGGUCAACGCUCUGUGCUUGAUAAACUGCGUGUCCACCCAGUCAGGUUGGAUCGAGUGGGCUUACCAGAAGAUGAACGUUCGUCACCUGAGAUCACAAGGCAUGACUCAGGGCGUGCUGGACUAUCUGAUGUGGCAUCACUUUGGCAGGGGCACAGAGGAGAGGAAUCACGACCUGGUUCAAGUGUACAAGAACUACUUCGAGCGUCACGUGAAUCCAACGAACUUGGCGCUAUUCAUCGACAGCUACGUGCGCCGCACGGAUCUCAAUAUCACGAGGGAAUUAGACCCGAUACGUAAAAAGGAGGGUUUGACGCUUGGCGUGCCUGUCAUAAAUAUCACCGGAGCACUGAGCCCGCAUGUCGACGACACCGUGACGUUAAACGGUCGAUUAGACCCGACGAACAGCUCUUGGAUGAAGAUUUCUGAUUGCGGAAUGGUGCUGGAGGAGCAACCAGGCAAAGUAAGCGAGGCUUUCCGACUGUUUCUGCAGGGCGAGGGAUAUGUGGUGAAAUCCUCGCGGAAGCCCGUGACGCCGACAACACCCGAAGGUAAUUGUAAUUAGGAAUUGAAGGCCGCAAAGGAGUCAAGCGCGCAGUUGGUCAGUUAGGCCACGUCUAUGUGUUAAUGGCACCGCUCUCACCACUGAAAAUGGCUGACUACCGGCUGGCUUCCCUCGAAGAACUGAACCACGUAUGCAUUAA